UUUGGUCUUUUACUUCAUUUCUGAAUUCUUCCUUGCCCCACCGUUUCAGUCUGUCGACCCACCUGAUUUCUGGAUGCUUCCCCACCGUGUGACGCUGUAAAUUGUUUCUCCAAAUAGUUUACCCAAACCACCGCCAUCACUGAUUCAUCCAAAUCCAUGAAUUCGCAUAAUCGAGCCGAAUAACCAGUCAACAACGCAGAGCUCUCUUUGUCCACGGCAACCCAUCGGUCCACCUCAACGCCGCGUGUGCAACAACUAGCGCAAUCCCAACCAGCAGCGGCACCCAAACAUUCACCGUCGCCUGUGAAGAAUAGCAGUAGAAUCCAUUUUGCUAAAGAUAAGCAAUUUAUCCUAAUUUAGAAUUCUAAAGUUCUUUACAAAAGUAGUUUAUCUUCUCAAACACAAUGGAAAUUGGUAAGUUAUACGGUAUAAAAAAUCUAAUAAAAUCCGAACAAGAAUUUAGGUCUGGGUAUUAAGGUUUAUUUUUGGUUGUGAAAAUCCGCAAAAAACACAACUCAGAAACAACAAUUGAUAAAAUAUCGAACCCAACGUACCCAGAUGAGAUUUUAAAUUUUAACUUAUUCUUUUGAUUUUUUUUGUUGUAUUUUAAUUGCAGGGGAUGAGCAAGCUGUUGUUUGGUUUUGGCCGGAGAAAGGGAAGCCAUAUGAAUGCCCAGUCCAACUUUUCAACAUAAUACAACUAGGCAAGACGCAUAAUACACUCUGAAUCGGAAGGAGAAGAAGAAACGGUUACAGUGUGUCAAAGUUUGUUACUUUUUGGUGGCCUAAACGUUUUCCAAAAUUGUUAGAAGUUGGGCAUCAAAAAAGUUCAUGACAGGAUGGUGGGCAUUUCUUUCUUCUGGCUCCUAUUUCGUUCAAAUCAUGUUCAUAUGCAAUACUAUUUUCUGUUUGAUACUGUGUUUGUAAACCAUCAAUUCCAUGUUGUGGGAGGGUCAAAUAUCUUUAAAGUUGGUGGAUUUCUGAUUAUUCUUAAGAUUUAGAGUUGAAAGAUGGAAUGCCUUAGUAGUAAUAGGAACUUAAACUUAGAUUGUUGGCAUGCUUUAGUAGAAGUAUAUUACAAAGUUAGCUAAGACAGAACUAGCCUUUUGCCAGAUGAAUUCAAGAAAUGUACAACUUAGCUUGUUACAAGUUUUAGACUGAACCCAUUUCAUAUAAUUUUACGCUAAUGUCAUA